rnacentral:rRNA from 1 species
UGCAGUCGAGCGCCCCGCAAGGGGAGCGGCAGACGGGUGAGUAACGCGUGGGAAUCUACCUAGCUCUACGGAAUAACCCAGGGAAACUUGGACUAAUACCGUAUACGUCCUUCGGGAGAAAGAUUUAUCGGAGUUGGAUGAGCCCGCGUUGGAUUAGCUAGUUGGUGGGGUAAUGGCCUACCAAGGCGACGAUCCAUAGCUGGUCUGAGAGGAUGAUCAGCCACACUGGGACUGAGACACGGCCCAGACUCCUACGGGAGGCAGCAGUGGGGAAUAUUGGACAAUGGGCGAAAGCCUGAUCCAGCCAUGCCGCGUGAGUGAUGAAGGCCCUAGGGUUGUAAAGCUCUUUCAACGGUGAAGAUAAUGACGGUAACCGUAGAAGAAGCCCCGGCUAACUUCGUGCCAGCAGCCGCGGUAAUACGAAGGGGGCUAGCGUUGUUCGGAAUUACUGGGCGUAAAGCGCACGUAGGCGGACUAUUAAGUCAGGGGUGAAAUCCCGGGGCUCAACCCCGGAACUGCCUUUGAUACUGGUAGUCUA